rnacentral:snRNA from 1 species
GUGCUUGCACAUACACUAAAAUUGAAAUGAUACAGAGAUUAACAUGGCCCCUACACAAGUGAUAUGCAGAUUGAUGAAGGAAAAUAAGGGGAA